GACGAACGCUGGCGGCGUGCUUAACACAUGCAAGUCGAACGGAAAGGCCCUGCUUUUGUGGGGUGCUCGAGUGGCGAACGGGUGAGUAACACGUGAGUAACCUGCCCUUGACUUUGGGAUAACUUCAGGAAACUGGGGUUAAUACCGGAUAGGAGCUCCUGCUGCAUGGUGGGGGUUGGAAAGUUUCGGCGGUUGGGGAUGGACUCGCGGCUGAUCAGCUUGUUGGUGGGGUAAUGGCUUACCAAGGCUUUGACGGGUAGCCGGCCUGAGAGGGUGACCGGCCACACGGGAGGGGAGACACCGUCCAGGGUCCUACGGGAGGCAGCAGCGGGGAAUGGUGGACAAUGGGGGGAAGCCUGAUGCAGCGAUGCCGCGCGUGUGAAGAAGGCCCUCGGUGCGGAAAGAGCGUUUAGGGGGGAGGAAGGGAGUUCAGUUAAUACCUGGGGGGAGUGACGUUACUGGCAGAAGAAGCACCGGCUAACUACGUG
rnacentral:rRNA from 1 species